rnacentral:rRNA from 1 species
GAUCCUGGCUCAGGAUGAACGCUAGCUACAGGCUUAACACAUGCAAGUCGAGGGCAGCAUGAACUUAGCUUGCUAAGUUUGAUGGCGACCGGCGCACGGGUGAGUAACACGUAUCCAACCUGCCGAUGACUCGGGGAUAGCCUUUCGAAAGAAAGAUUAAUACCCGAUGGCAUAGUUCUUCCGCAUGGUGGAACUAUUAAAGAAUUUCGGUCAUCGAUGGGGAUGCGUUCCAUUAGGUUGUUGGCGGGUAACGGCCCACCAAGCCUUCGAUGGAUAGGGGUUCUGAGAGGAAGGUCCUCCACAUUGGAACUGAGACACGGUCCAAACUCCUACGGGAGGCAGCAGUGAGGAAUAUUGGUCAAUGGACGAGAGUCUGAACCAGCCAAGUAGCGUGAAGGAUGACUGCCCUAUGGGUUGUAAACUUCUUUUAUACGGGAAUAAAGUCGAGGCCACGUGUGCCUUUUUGUAUGUACCGUAUGAAUAAGGAUCGGCUAACUCCGUG